rnacentral:rRNA from 1 species
GAUAAACGCUGGCGGUCGUGCCUAAUGCAUGCAAGUCGUACGGCUUUCCGCAAGGAAAGCAGUGGCAAACGGGUGAGUAACACGUGGGAAUCUGCCCAGUAGUGGGGAAUAACUUUGCGAAAGCAAAGCUAAUACCGCAUACGCUUCCUCUGAGGAGGAAGUAAAGUAGUAAUACGCUAUUGGAGGAGCCUGCGGCUGAUUAGCUUGUUGGUGGGGUAAAGGCCUACCAAGGCGAUGAUCAGUAGCUGGUCUGAGAGGACGGACAGCCACAUUGGGACUGCGACACGGCCCAAACUUCUACGGAAGGCAGCAGCAAGGAAUUUUCGGCAAUGGAGGAAACUCUGACCGAGCAACGCCGCGUGGGUGAAGAAGUCUUUCGGGAUGUAAAACCCUUUUCUCUGGGAAGAAGGAAAGACGGUACCAGAGGAAUAAGCACCGGCAAACUACGUGCCAGCAGCCGCGGUAAUACGUAGGGUGCGAGCGUUGUCCGGAAUUACUGGGCGUAAAGGGCGCGCAGGCGGCAGACCAAGUCAGAUGUGAAAUAGCUCGGCUUAACCGGGCGGGGUCAUUUGAAACUGGUCAGCUAGAGUACAGCAGAGGUUAGUGGAAUUCCCGGUGUAGUGGUGAAAUGCGUAGAGAUCGGGAGGAGCACCAGAGGCGAAGGCGACUAACUGGGCUGUAACUGACGCUGAGGCGCGAAGGCUAGGGGAGCAAACAGGAUUAGAUACCCUGGUAGUCCUAGCAGUAAACGAUGAAUACUAGGUGUCGGGGGAUUGACCCCUUCGGUGCCAAAGCAAACGCAAUAAGUAUUCCGCCUGGGGAGUACGGUCGCAAGAUUAAAACUCAAAGGAAUUGACGGGGGCCCGCACAAGCAGCGGAGCGUGUGGUUUAAUUCGACGCAACGCGAAGAACCUUACCAGGGCUUGACAUGCAGUGUUCAAGUGUGGAAACAUACUGGUCGCAAGACGAACUGCACAGAUGCUGCAUGGCUGUCGUCAGCUCGUGUCGUGAGAUGUUGGGUUAAGUCCCGCAACGAGCGCAACCCCUAGUGUUAGUUGAAAAGUCUAGCGCGACUGCCGGUAGCAAACCGGAGGAAGGUGGGGAUGACGUCAAGUCAGCAUGGCUCUUACGUCCUGGGCUACACACACGCUACAAUGGUCGGUACAGAGGGAAGCCAAGCCGCGAGGUGGAGCAAAUCCCACAAAGCCGAUCUCAGUUCGGAUAGCAGGCUGAAACUCGCCUGCUUGAAGUCGGAGUUGCUAGUAACCGCGCAUCAGAACAGUGCGGUGAAUACGUUCCCGGGCCU